UUGCAUCGAUGAAGAACGCAGCGAAAUGCGAUACGUAGUGUGAAUUGCAGAAUUCCGCGAAUCAUCGAGUCUUUGAACGCAAGUUGCGCCCGAGGCUUGUCCAAGGGCAUUUCCGCUAGAGCGUCACC
rnacentral:rRNA from 1 species